rnacentral:rRNA from 1 species
ACACCGGCAGCUCAAGUGGUAGCCGCUUUUAUUGGGCCUAAAGCGUCCGUAGCCGGUCUGAUAAGUCUCUGGUGAAAUCCCACAGCUUAACUGUGGGAAUUGCUGGAGAUACUAUCAUGACUCGAGGUCGGGAGAGGCUGGAGGUACUCCCAGGGUAGGGGUGAAAUCCUGUAAUCCUGGGAGGACCACCUGUGGCGAAGGCGUCCAGCUGGAAAGAACCUGACGGUGAGGGACGAAAGCCAGGGGCGCGAACCGGAUUAGAUACCCGGGUAGUCCUGGCCGUAAACGAUGUGGACUUGGUGUUGGGAUGGCUUCGAGCUGCCCCAGUGCCGAAGGGAAGCUGUUAAGUCCACCGCCUGGGAAGUACGGCCGCAAGGCUGAAACUUAAAGGAAUUGACGGGG